GACGAACGCUGGCGGCGUGCUUAACACAUGCAAGUCGAACGGUGAAGCGCCUUCCUUUUUUGUGGGUGUGGAUGAGUGGCGAACGGGUGAGUAACACGUGAGUAACCUGCCCCCUUCUUCUGGAUAACCGCAUGAAAGUGUGGCUAAUACGGGAUAUUCUGGGUCUGUCGCAUGAUGGGUCUGGGAAAGAUAUUGUUUCGGUGGGGGAUGGGCUCGCGGCCUAUCAGCUUGUUGGUGGGGUGAUGGCCUACCAAGGCGGUGACGGGUAGCCGGCCUGAGAGGGUGGACGGUCACACUGGGACUGAGACACGGCCCAGACUCCUACGGGAGGCAGCAGUGGGGAAUAUUGCACAAUGGGCGCAAGCCUGAUGCAGCGACGCCGCGUGAGGGAUGGAGGCCUUCGGGUUGUGAACCUCUUUCGCCAGUGAAGCAGGCCUGCCUCGUUUGUGGGUGGGUUGACGGUAGCUGGAUAAGAAGCGCCGGCUAACUACGUG
rnacentral:rRNA from 1 species